rnacentral:rRNA from 1 species
AGCAGCCGCGGUAAUUCCAGCUCCAAUAGCGUAUAUUAAAGUUGUUGCAGUUAAAAAGCUCGUAGUUGAAUUUCGGAAUCGACGGAUUGGUCGCGCCUUUGGUGUGUACUGGUCUUGCCGGUUUCUCCCUUCUGACGAACCACGAUGUCAUUAAUUUGGUGUCGUGGGGAAUCAGGACUGUUACUUUGAAAAAAUUAGAGUGUUUAAAGCAGGCAUUAGCUUGAAUACAUUAGCAUGGAAUAAUGAAAUAGGACGUUUGAUCUUAUUUUGUUGGUUUCUAGGAUCGACGUAAUGAUUAAUAGGGAUAGUUGGGGGCAUUAGUAUUCAAUUGUCAGAGGUGAAAUUCUUGGAUUUUAUUGAAGACUAACUACUGCGAAAGCAUUUGCCAAGGAUGUUUUCAUUAAUCAAGAACGAAAGUUAGGGGAUCGAAGACGAUCAGAUACCGUCGUA